GGUUGCCUAUAUAAACUUGAAUCGGGGACUUUUGUGUGUUUGUGUUAUUUAAAAUUUAAAACGCUGAUAACUCCAUUUAGUGAUAAUAAAAACCGAUAUUUACUGCGGUUACAUGAUAUUUAAUAUUAAAAUAGUAUUGGAUGUGGUAGAAUGUAGACUCUUUGUAUAAUUACCAAUUAAGCAGUGAAGCUGUUAGAUCAAUUUUCCGAUUCAAUCAUUUCUACUGUUUACAGUUCAAUAAGCCUUUACAGUUCUGUGUUUGUGUUUGCUUUUGAGUAGGUAUUUCAUUUUCUUGACAACGAAAAUGUUCGGUGUGGAAAGAAUUAAUAAGUGCGUGGAAUGCGGAAACGUGUAUAAGCGUAAACAUGAUUUAAAAAGACAUGUAAAUAGUUCGCAUCCCGACAAAUUGGAUGCAAUUGCCCCUUUAAAAGUGCUUAAAGGUAACGUCUAUAAGUGCGCACAUUGUGAUAAACAAUUUAGACAUAAGCAAAGUUUAAACUUUCAUGUCAAAAAAAUGCACACAAAUGUAUCAGUUUCUGCAGAAACUAAAACAUUUCAACAUAAAUGUUCUCUGUGUGAUUAUCAUGCAACUUUUAAAAAGGACUUUAUUAAACAUUAUGAAACUUCUCAUAGCAUUCCUAUGCAAUACGAUACAAUAGAGUUUUCCAACCAUGAUGACUUUAUUUCUUGGAAGAAUAAAAUAGAGCUUGAAACAAAUGCUAGUUUUGUUGUGGAAACAGGAAAAAAGGCAGGAAUAAUGAACUACAUAUGCCACCGAUCGGGAUAUUUCACCUCAAAAGGUAAGGGCGAGAGGCACCUGAAAACACACGGUAGUGUCAAAAUUAAUGGAUACUGUCCUGCUAUGAUAAAAGAAGUUGCCCAAAGUGAUGGAAAAUAUUUAGCCCAUUUCACCAAAACUCAUGUUGGUCAUCAAAAUGCAAUUGGGCGCCUAUUUUUGCCAUCCUCAGAGAGAAAAACAAUUGCUGCGAAACUAGCUGCAAAAAUUCCAUUUGAAGCAGUUUUAGAUGGAGUGAGAGAUGGAAUUUCAGACACAGACAAGUUUCAAAGAAAGCACCUUUUGACAAAAAAAGAUCUCUACAAUAUUGAGGCCAGCUUUAACCUUCGCUCUACUACAGUAAGACACAGAGAUGAUGCUGUUAGCCUAGAAUCUUGGGUAAAUGAAAUGAAAACUAGCUGCGUUUUAUUUUAUAAGCCUCAAGAUAUUACAUUGGAUGAGUACCCCCAGCUGCAUAGUGAUGAUUUUAUUUUAAUAAUUAUGAACACUGGUCAACUCACUACAUUGAAGAAGUUUGGAAGUGACUGUAUUUGUGUCGAUGGAACUCAUGGUGUUAACAGCUACCAAUUUGAGCUUCACACUUUAUUAGUUCUUGAUGACCUACGCCAAGGCUUUCCCUGUUGUUUCUGUAUCUGCAGCAGAAGCGAUGAGACUAUAAUGUCUUUAUUUUUCAAUUGUAUCAAGAAAGAAAGUGGACCUAUUGAGGCAAGAGUUUUUAUGUCUGACAUGGCAGAUGUGUACUAUAAUGCAUGGUCAAAAGUAAUGGGUGAAACACAUUUCCGCUUAUAUUGUACAUAGCAUGUGGAUCGUGCGUGGAGAAAGAACUUGACUUUGAUUAAGACCAAAGAAAAACAGGAAUUGGUGUAUAAAACUUUAAGAGUUCUUCUGCAAGAGACAGAUCCCUCUGCCUUUGAACCAAUGUUACAAAGUUUUGUAGAAAAUACCCUUGAUGAUCCAAGUACUGUUGAUUUUGGUCAUUAUUUUCAAUCAAAUUAUUCAAGUAAGGCUAUGUCCUGGGCUUACUGCUAUAGGAUGCAUGCUGGCCUAAACACCAACAUGCACAUUGAACGGAUGCAUGGGACGAUAAAGUAUAUUUAUUUCCAAGGCAAAAACAAUAAAAGAUUACGCAAAGCUGUAAAUGCCCUCAUGAAAUUCGUAAGAGAUAAGCUCUUUGACAGGCUAAUAAUCCUCAACAAAGGAAAACUGUCCUCUAAAAUUGUAGAGUUAAGAAGAAGACAUAAAACUAGUUUAGAUCUAGACAUGUCUCGUAUUAUAAAUUUGGAAGACACUUGGCAGAUUCCAUCUUCAACAAAAGCAGAGAUAUAUAUCAUCAACGAAAAUGAUAUACAAUGCGAAUGUCAACUUAUUUGCACGGAUUGCAAAGUGUGUAUCCACAAAUAUUCGUGCAGCUGCAUUGAUUCUGCAAUUGCAUGGAAUAUGUGCAAGCAUGUUCACUUGCUUUGUAGGUAUCGGCAAAUUGAUCAGUCUGGAACAAAGGAAUUGUCACAGGAAGAACAGAAAAUGGAAAUCGUUGAAGAUCACAAAGCAGUCGAAUCCGAAAUUAUUUUUGAAGAGAUGGAUAAUAAGUCUGCUAGCAGGUGCAAAACAUUGGCGAAAAAAAAAGAAGAGAUGUUGCAACACCUAUAUGUUGUAGUUAAUGAGGUUACAACAGUGGAAGAAUGGAAAGCUCUGGAAAAAAUGGUAAAUCCAAUUGAGCCAACCUUGACAGCAAUUCGCCAGCAGACCAUUUCUAAUUUUGAAUCCAAAGAUUCUAAACCCAGCAAUUCAAAAAUUUUGAAACAGAGACGGCUGUUCAGUACAAAGAAAAAACGCAACAAAAAGAAAAUGGUGACUAAACCUACAAGUGAAGAAUGUGACGCUAUUGCAAUUAACUUACUUAAUUAAAGUUUAGAUAAACUUUAAUUAAGUAAGUUAAUUGCAAAAACUUAAGUUUUUGGGUAAUUUUUUUUCUUAAUCGCAUCCACCCUUUUUGCUUAUUUCAUAUUUUUAACUUGGUAUCAGAGCAGCUGAUGGGCAGUAUUUCGAAAUUUAAAUAUUUUUUGUAUAUUUAAAUAUUCUUUUUCUCGUGAUCAUCUUUCAGUGCGUCACAGUUUUUCGAUUUCUUUCUAACGCAUUAAAUUGUAUGUGACAGAAAAAAAGGCACGUCGGUGAUUACUUCUAGUUCUGUGAUUAUUCUAGUUGUCAAUAGAUGGCGCCAUAAUUAAAAAAAAUAAUUUUUUUUAAUUAGAUAAUAAUAUUACAAAUAUAAUCUGUAUAAUUUAUAAGACUAUACAAAUCAAAGAAAAUACCAUUUUAUAAAUGCAAGAAACACAUUUUAUUUGUUUUUAUUCUAAAUUGAAAAUAAAAUGUGACAACUGUCAGAUUUAACUAAAUUGUCAUGUUAGAAUAAAUGUCAUAAAUGUGUAUUAUCACGGACUUACCCUUUUUCCUAUCAUUUGUGACGCACUGAAAAAUGAUCAUGAAAAGGACAAUACUCUAUAAUAAUUAUAAAUAAGUAAGUACUUGGAAUUUAAAUACUUACAGUCUAAAGUAUUUAAACACCUACAAAAAGUAGGUAUUUAAAUUUUGAAAUAAUGCCCACCAGCUGUGAACCAAGUUAAAAGAAAUGUGCAACAAGGGUGCAUGAUUAAAAAAAAAUUUACCCAAAUACUUGGAUAAUUUUUUAGUAUUUAAAUACUUGGUAUUUACAUACUUUUCAACAUUGGUAUUUAAUAUUUAUGAUACCUACUUGCUUUCCUAAAUUUAAUAAAAUUUUAAUUUUCUUAUAUUAUCUAAUCCUUGUUUUAUUUAAGUCAAGCAUAGCCACAGUUAUAGGUAUAGAUCACUCUUUAUAGGUAGUAAUAACUUUUCAGUUUCAUUUUUAAGUACAUCUACAAAAAAAGUACCUACUACAUAUUUGUGUCAUUCAUGCCUUACAAUGUGAAUUUUUAAAGUGGUUGAGCACAUAUAUAGCAAAAUUCUAUUAUUUAUAAAAUUCUUUCAUGCAGCAUGACUUGCUCAAAAACGUUUUUAGGUACCUUUUCGUAUUUUCCCAUUUCUCAGAAGUUUUCGAAAUAUGUAGGUAGGUACCUACCCAGUUGACCAUUUUACAGAGCAACUACAUUUCAGUUACAUCACACAUGUUCCUUGUUCUAUCAUAGAUACAUCACAAGAAAAGCGCGUAAACAUAGCAGAGCUAUCUCUGCUAUGCUCCUAUGUCCUACCCUAAAAGGGAGCAAAACUCUUUUCUUGAGCACUAAAUUAUGUCACGUAUAUGUCGCAGCUACAGAACAAUACUCUUUUCUUAAGCGUUAAAGGAUGUCAGAUAUAUGUUGCAGCUAUGGAGCAAAACUCUUUUCUCAAGCAUCACAUAAUGUCUCUUAUCUGUAGCAGCUAUGUAUCAGAUAUGUUUCAGUUUUGUGUCAACUAUGUCUCGUAGAGUGCACGUUGAGAAAAAUAUUUACAAUAAAAUUGCUUCUUUAACUUUAUAUUACUGUAGAUAGUAUUUUUACUUGACAUUGUAAAUAUAUAAUUGACAUU
rnacentral:misc_RNA from 1 species